rnacentral:lncRNA from 1 species
AGCACCCAAUCCAAAUGGAAAAAAAAGUCCAGAGGAAACAUUAAUCAGGUGUGAAUCUUACAGAUGAGAAAAUUGUGAGGGGCAGUAGGAUAGCAGAGGAAAAGCAUCUGUCUGGUGUUUGUUGGAUCACCAAGCCCAGGAGGAUGGGUUGCCUAGCAACUCUCAGUCACUUCAGACCAGUGCUAGGCAACAAGAUGCAAUCUGUCAGCCACAUCUGAUCGGUGUUUUCUCCUGGCUUUUAGAAGACAUAAAAGGUUCUUGA